rnacentral:rRNA from 1 species
UGCUAUUGCCAUACCAUCCUGAACACGCCCGAUAUUGUCUGAUCUCGGAUGCUAAGCAGGGUCGGGCCUGGUUAGUACUUGGAUGGGAGUUUUCUCUUUUUUCUUAAGUUAGCUAAAGAUU